rnacentral:rRNA from 1 species
CGCUAGAGAUAGCUUAGUGCCUUCGGGAACUCUGAGACAGGUGCUGCAUGGCUGUCGUCAGCUCGUGUUGUGAAAUGUUGGGUUAAGUCCCGCAACGAGCGCAACCCUUAUCCUUAUUUGCCAGCACGUAAUGGUGGGAACUCUAGGGAGACUGCCGGUGAUAAACCGGAGGAAGGUGGGGACGACGUCAAGUCAUCAUGGCCCUUACGAGUAGGGCUACACACGUGCUACAAUGGUCGGUACAGAGGGUUGCAAAGCCGCGAGGUGGAGCUAAUCUCACAAAGCCGAUCGUAGUCCGGAUUGGAGUCUGCAACUCGACUCCAUGAAGUCGGAAUCGCUAGUAAUCGUGGAUCAGAAUGCCACGGUGAAUACGUUCCCGGGUCUUG